GCCGACGUGGCGGAAUUGGCAGACGCGACGGACUCAAAAUCCGUUGUCCCUCAAAGGACGUGUGGGUUCGACCCCCUCCGUCGGCA
rnacentral:tRNA from 1 species